GUACUGCAUGAAUACAGAUUUUGCAAUAAAGUACCACAAUUUAAAGGACAAAAGUUUAUAGAAGUGUAUAUUUAUUGAUCACUAAUUUAGGACAGACUUCUUAUUGCUGUUUGCCACAAACCCUACCAACCAGUCUCAGGGUGUGGGACAUUUUCAUUAUUAUUGAUUUUUUUUUAUAUAUAUAUAUAUAUUAAGGGAAAAAAGGGGUCCA
rnacentral:lncRNA from 1 species